rnacentral:tRNA from 2 species
GCGGGGAUCGCCUAGCCUGGUAGGGCGUGGGACUACUAAUCCUAUGUCAGAAAUGACACGUGGGUUCAAAUCCCCCUCCCCGCG